UAGGAGCUGAGAGGCCAGCAGAGCACAAAGCGGCAGGCAGCACCAUGAGGACCUCCAUUCUAAUACUCUUGAUCAUAUGGACCGUGUGUGAAGAAAAUUGGGCUAUUGCAAUUCCGGAGAAAACGGCAGUUCCUGAACAUCAAGUGAUGCGUGAAAAACGAGGAAUACCUGAAACUCUGGACGGAGUAAAGGACAGAAUCGAGGACGACUGGGAGAGAAUGCUCAGAGCAGCAAUUCGGAGGUUUACGGGAUUUUCCUUUCAAUUCUAGGCCCAGUGAGCAGAAUGGCCAACUGGUUAUGAAGUUUGAUUGAAUUCCACCAGCUUAUAUGAUACACUCGGGCCUAACUACUGGCUCGCUGUGUCCUAUAAUAUCAGUUUGCUUUCUUCAGCUUUUAAUGUUGACCGAUAUGAAGAACUACAUUUGACGUGUUGUGCGUGGAGUUAGGGUGGUAAACGACAAAGCUGCCUAUUCAAUCCCCACCACUGACUCAAAGUGUGUGCCCCCAAAUUAUUCACCUACUUCAGGCUUCAGCUACAGCUGUAACUAAAUGAAUGAAUAACGUACUGCAUAGUACUUGUAAUGCCUUUCACAUUAUUUGUGUAACUUGUAUGUUUUUGUCAUCAUGUGGGACUGUGUGUUAAUAACUUGCUCAGAAAUAAAUAUAAUAAAUAUACUAAUGUUACAAAGUUUUGAAAA